CUUGAAUCCUUUCAGGUCGGCUGGAACUAUUUGUUAUGCUCUGAUUUAUUACAAUUUUCACUGUCAUUGCAUACUCUAGAAUUUAAAUACUUUUCACCAGUAGCAAUGUGGUGGGAAAUCUUACCAAGUUUUGUAAUUAUAACUGGAAUGAUGACAAUUGCGGGUCUGUCAAAUGAAGUUUUUCAAAGGUUACAGAACGGUGGGAAGCUUAAAAGAAAAGCUAAUUGUGGCUGGGACUGGGACAUGUAUAAACGAGAUGAAAGAAUUGCUGGAAAAGUUUAUAAAACAAAGGGUCUAGAAAAUCUUGCUGAUAAUUAGAAUGGGAGACCUAGAUGGCUAGUUUGGCUGGAACCUCUGUGUUUGCUUUAGUGGUUGUUGGACACUUGUAGAUAAAGAAGGAUACUCAAUAACAAAUCUUAAAUACAAAGUGUGCUUUUUGAAAUCAAAUAUGUCAAACUUGUUUUCUUCCCAGUAAUGUAUAUUAUAUAUCUUAGUGAGAUGCCAUUAAAUUUAGUUUGAGUCUUUUGAUGAAAUAUCAGUUGUUGUUGUGAGCACAUUUGCAUAAUACUUUUAAAGUUAUCAGCAAAACAUUGAACAUUGUCUGAUAAUUGGUGCUACACCAUAAAACAAUUAUUCAGCUGUUACCACUGAAUAGCCAGUGAACAUUAUUAGAUACCCCAGUAAGUAUAGAAAGUCACUAGCCAAUUUGAACAAAGUCAGUGCUUAACACAUCCACAGGAAUACACAUUGCUAACAAAUAUAAAUAAAGAAGGUACCAGUAAUUUCAUACCAA